rnacentral:lncRNA from 1 species
CAUUCAACUUUUCUGUAGUUAUACUAUACGUUAUUUCAUAUAAUAUUCGAUAACAAUGGUGUCAUCACCUCACCUGGUAAGCCUUCAUGGUUUUCGUCUGGGGUGUAUGAUAGUGGCCAUGUUGUUGAAUGGAGACGUACCCUUGUGGGAAGGGCUCACAAAGGUAUCACCACUCAAUUUACCUUCGCUUAUUACGGGUUUUUUUGGGCCUUUUUUUAAAAUUUAAAUGCGAAUGAUAAAGAAGGGGGUUUGCCUUUUCGUUUAACACUGGAGUCGGGCAAUUUAGGCAGUUUGUGGAUCAUUCUGCUUUGCUUGCUUUGGGUUCCUCUAAUCGGGCGGCUAUUAAUUGGGUGUGAGCCUAGCUUGAUCGGGGCUUCUGCAAUUCUGCCUGGCUUUAUCUUUUGCCUCAUGCUGAGGUUCACCAUUUGGAACGUAUCACUUCUUCUGAUUUACUGAUCCUUUCUAGCACGUGCUAGGCAUUCUGGGCAAUCUCAAAUGAGUGGAUCCCCAAUGGGAUCCUUUGCGCAAAACCCUUACAAGGUACUUGGGGAAAUUUGUCAUUGGAGUCGUUCUGAUUUGGGUAAAAUUGAGAACAGAUUUAAUGUGGUUGCUAGGUUAGAAUUCAAAGAUGCAAUUGUUGGAUUGUCCAUCCUUGAAGAACAAUGGCUUCACUCCGAUUAUAAUGUAUAUUAUGUUUUUUUUUUUUUUUGGUACAAAUGGGUGCUCACACCGAUCUAAUAUGAGUACACUCCAAAAGAUCAAAAAAAAUAAAUAUCCUGUAAGACUUGGGGGCAAGUCUGAUCCCGAUGCGAGGCCCAGUGUGCCCUACCACAUAAGAGGCAACCCAGUCAGCAUAUAUUAUGCUUUAAUUGACAGGAUAAUACCAAAUGGAAACAAAAAUAGAGCUAGAAGUGUAGCUGUUGGUGAUUAGAAAUGAGAUAUUGUUAUUUGCUAACUGCAGUACAGUGAUGGAGAAAUGCUGUUUGAUGAUGCACCAUCAGGAGUAGCUGCAGCAAAAAAUGCAGGGAUGUAAGCAGAAGUUAAUAAAGAAUAAUUUGUUUAACGAUUCAUGUUACUUUCAAUUUAGAAUGCAAA